UACGGAAGGCAGCAGUGGGGAAUAUUGCACAAUGGGCGAAAGCCUGAUGCAGCUAUGCCGCGUGUAUGAAGAAGGCCUUAGGGUUGUAAAGUACUUUCAUCGGGGAGGAAAAAACAAAACUAAUAAUUUUAUUUCUUGACGUUACCCGAAAAAGAAGCACCGGCUAACUCCGUGCCAGCAGCCGCGGUAAUACGGAGGGUGCUAGCGUUAAUCAGAAUUACUGGGCGUAAAGAGCACGUAGGUUGGUUUUUUUAAGUCAGAUGUGAAACUCCCUGGGCUUAACCUAGGAACUGCAUUUUGAAACUGAAAUACUAGAGUAUCGUAGAGGGAGGUAGAAUUCUAGGUGUAGCGGUGAAAUGCGUAGAUAUCUGGAGGAUACCUGUGGCGAAAGCGGCCUCCUAAACGAAUACUGACACUGAGGUGCGAAAGCGUGGGGAGCAAACGAGGAUUAGAUACC
rnacentral:rRNA from 1 species